AUGAACGCUGGCGGCGUGCCUAAUACAUGCAAGUCGAACGAGGUGCUUGAGUAGCAAUACAAGAGUAUCCUAGUGGCGAACGGGUGAGUAACGCGUGGAUGACCUGCCCCAAAGUGUGGGAUAACAGUCCGAAAGGAUUGCUAAUACCUCAUGUGGUUAUCGGUUUUAGAAAGCGAUAACUAAAGCAGCAAUGCGCUUUGGGAGGGAUCUGCGUCCCAUCAGCUAGUUGGUGAGGUAAUGGCUCACCAAGGCGACGACGGGUAGGGGACCUGAGAGGGUGGCCCCCCACAAUGGAACUGAAACACGGUCCAUACACCUACGGGUGGCAGCAGUAGGGAAUAUUGCUCAAUGGGCGAAAGCCUGAAGCAGCAACGCCGCGUGUGCGAUGAAGGCCUUCGGGUCGUAAAGCACUUUUCUGAGAGAUGAGAAAGGACAGUAUCUCAGGAAUAAGUCUCGGCUAACUACGUGCCAGCAGCCGCGGUAAAACGUAGGAGGCGAGCGUUAUCCGGAUUCACUGGGUGUAAAGCGCGUGCAGGCGGUUCGGUAAGUUGGGCGUGAAAUCUCCUGGCUCAACUAGGAGAGGUCGUUCAAUACUACCGGACUCGAGAGUGGUAGAGGAAGAUGGAAUUCCCGGUGUAGUGGUGAAAUGCGUAGAUAUCGGGAGGAACACCAGUGGCGAAGGCGAUCUUCUGGACCAUUUCUGACGCUCAGACGCGACAGCUAGGGUAGCAAACGGGAUUAGAGACCCCGGUAGUCCUAGCCGUAAACGAUGUGAACUGGCGUCGGUGGGUUAAAC
rnacentral:rRNA from 1 species